ACAUGCAAGUCGAACGAAGUAGCAAUACUUAGUGGCAGACGGGUGAGUAACAUGUGGGUAUCUACCCUUUGGCCUGGAAUAACACGAGGAAACUUGUGCUAAUACCGGAUAAGUCUUUACGGAGAAAGCUUUAUGCACCAUUGGAUGAGCCCGCACUUGAUUAGUUUGUUGGUAGGGUAAUGGCCUACCAAGACUAUGAUCAAUAGCUGAUUUGAGAGGAUGAUCAGCCACAUUGGGACUGAGACACGGCCCAAACUCCUACGGGAGGCAGCAGUGGGGAAUCUUGCACAAUGGAGGAAACUCUGAUGCAGCGAUGCCGCGUGAGUGAAGAAGGCCUUUGGGUUGUAAAGCUCUUUCGUCGGGGAAGAAAAUGACUGUACCCGAAUAAGAAGGUCCGGC
rnacentral:rRNA from 1 species